ensembl:snoRNA
AUGCAUCUAUCUGACAUGCCUGGAGCAGUUACUGUCUGCUAAGGUUUCCAGCACAGAUGCAAGAAAAAAGUGUCCUUGCGCUUCCUGUCUGUCUGAUUGUGGCAGUCCAGAUUGAAUGGGGGAAUACAGGG